UGGAGAGAGAUUGGAUCGACGGAACUAGAGAGCAGUAGAGAAAGUAUAACAGUAAAUAGAUUCCGGUUAGAAUACUAUCGAUAGUAUCCAACAUUUUGUGUUUUCAAAGUUUUCACCGUUUAAUUUAAUUAUUUGGCUAUUUUUAUUCAUUAGAUUAUGCUAUUAAAUUAAUAAUUUACUCAACCUUAGAAGGCCUAUAUCAUCCUAAUCAUAUAUUUUUUCAUCGAAGAGUCGAAAACUCAAUAGCACAAAUAAUUUGGUGCUAUUAAUAGUAUUCCAGCCUAAUUUCGAUAAAUAUAUAAAAUAUGAUAUUUAAAAUUAAAAAAAUAUUUUAAUUAUUUUUCUAAAACCCAAAUAUUCUUAUUGAUUUUUAAGAAAAUUUCUCGUAGGAUUUACUAAAGGGAUUGAAUUUCAAAAGAAUAUUUAAUAAUUUUAGAAUAAAUUUUAAAAUUUUGAAUAGUAGUUAGGGAUGAAUAAGAAAAAGUCCCUUUUUUUCUAUAUAAUGAUUUGCCAUAUUAUAAUUUAAAAAUUAUAGUUAAAUAUUUGAUGGUUUAGAGUAUUUUUAUUUUUAUUAUUUUGUAGUUUAAAAUUUAUACAUAGUUAUUUUAUAAUUUUAUUUUAUUAUGAAUAUUUAUGAUUAAACAUGAUAUUCUUAGU
rnacentral:lncRNA from 1 species